rnacentral:rRNA from 1 species
UACAGAGGUCCCAAGCGUUGUUCGGAUUCACUGGGCGUAAAGGGUGCGUAGGUGGCGAAGUAAGUCGAACGUGAAAGCUCGGAGCUCAACUCCGAAAUGGCAUUGGAAACUACUUUGCUCGAGGAUUGGAGGGGGGACUGGAAUACUUGGUGUAGCAGUGAAAUGCGUAGAUAUCAAGUGGAACACCAGUGGCGAAGGCGAGUCCCUGGACAAAUCCUGACACUGAGGCACGAAAGCUAGGGGAGCAAACAGG